CCCCUCUCAGGAUCGUUCCUGGAGAGUUUCCAGUACUCUACUAGUUUCGCUGUGGGAGGGAUAGUCAAGCAGAGACAUACCCAUUCCAUUCCUAGCUUGGCCAGUGGCUAGUGAGUGGAAGAUAAUCUGCUAUAAAU